rnacentral:rRNA from 1 species
UAGCGAAAUUCCUUGUCGGGUAAGUUCCGACCUGCACGAAUGGCGUAACGAUGGCGGCGCUGUCUCCACCCGAGACUCAGUGAAAUUGAAAUCGCUGUGAAGAUGCAGUGUAUCCGCGGCUAGACGGAAAGACCCCGUGAACCUUUACUAUAGCUUUGCACUGGACUUUGAAUUUGCUUGUGUAGGAUAGGUGGGAGGCUUUGAAGUGGGGACGCCAGUUCUCAUGGAGCCAUCCUUGAAAUACCACCCUGGCAACUUUGAGGUUCUAACUCAGGUCCGUUAUCCGGAUCGAGGACAGUGUAUGGUGGGUAGUUUGACUGGGGCGGUCUCCUCCCAAAGAGUAACGGAGGAGUACGAAGGUGCGCUCAGACCGGUCGGAAAUCGGUCGUAGAGUAUAAAGGCAAAAGCGCGCUUGACUGCGAGACACACACGUCGAGCAGGUACGAAAGUAGGUCUUAGUGAUCCGGUGGUUCUGUAUGGAAGGGCCAUCGCUCAACGGAUAAAAGGUACUCCGGGGAUAACAGGCUGAUACCGCCCAAGAGUUCACAUCGACGGCGGUGUUUGGCACCUCGAUGUCGGCUCAUCACAUCCUGGGGCUGAAGUAGGUCCCAAGGGUAUGGCUGUUCGCCAUUUAAAGUGGUACGCGAGCUGGGUUUAGAACGUCGUGAGACAGUUCGGUCCCUAUCUGCCGUGGGCGUUGGAAGAUUGAAGGGGGCUGCUCCUAGUACGAGAGGACCGGAGUGGACGAACCUCUGGUGUUCCGGUUGUCACGCCAGUGGCAUUGCCGGGUAGCUAUGUUCGGAAGAGAUAACCGCUGAAAGCAUCUAAGCGGGAAACUUGCCUCAAGAUGAGAUCUCACUGGGAUCUUGAAUCCCCUAAAGGGCCGUCGAAGACUACGACGUUGAUAGGUUGGGUGUGUAAGCGCUGUGAGGCGUUGAGCUAACCAAUACUAAUUGCCCGUGAGGCUUGACCAU